CACCAGAGAAAAAAAAAGAUAUAGACUUUCUCUUCCACGCCGAGAAGAGAAAACGCAGGAAAACUAAAUCCCUAAAACACACAAUAAUGUUUGAUCAAGCAAAACACAAGCUUGCAAGUAGCAAUAGGCUUUCUCUUUUACUCAACAAGAGAUUCUAUAUGCAGAUGAGAUGUUACAGGACUCACACAGGCAAUAAGAUAUCAGUUAUCAGACUCAUUCUUCUCUUUUUGUUAACAAGAAUAAGAUAUCAGUUAUGGUUUUAGUUUUCUUAACAAUUUUAGUUGUUCUUUUUUCAUCAUAUACGAUUCAUAAUUUGUUUGUAAACCCUCACCCUAAUGUGCUUGAUUUUAUUUUCCUGGUAUGUUAUCGCUCAAAAGGAUAUGUAAUCAAAGCACACAAAAAUCAGAAAGGGAUUUCGAUGCUGCUAAGUCGGUUGCUGAUCAAAGGAGUUCUAAUUUUCAAAGAGGUCAAUUUCUCGAGUUUCAGGUAGUUUCCAUUACCUGUGAAGCUCUUAAAUUAUGUGUGUUGAUUGCGUUUCUCAUGGUUUUCAUUUGCAAAUGGAAAUUCCCAAAUCUAAUUCUGCUAAACUAAUUCAAUAUUUUAAUCGGAGACAACGGGGUGGGAGAGGAAGGCGGAGACAAUGACAAUAAUGUAAAUGAUGGGCAUUCCAACGGGGGGACAAGGAGGCGGUAAGAACGGAACAUAGUAAGCAUUUUCAAGAAUGCUAAUUUUUCCAAGUGUUGCCACGGUGCAUGUUAUGUGUAGUGGCUUAAUUCAGUAUGUUAACCGGAGACAACGGGGGUGGGAGAGGAAGGCAGAGACAAUGACAAUCAUGUAAAUGAUGAGCAUUCCAACCGGGGACAAGGAGGCGGGCAGAACGGAACAUAGUAAGCAUUUCCAAGAAUGCUAAUUUUUUGAGCUUGGCAACACUGCGCAUGCAUUGCAAAAAGGACAAGCUUCACAGACGAAUGCUAUUAUAUAAGAUAUCCUGCUUGCAGCCAGGAGUUCACAGCGACGGCAAGUUCGCUUUUAGUCUAGCGUGUCACACAGAUUGCAUGAAGAAGCCAAGUUCGUGAGGACUUCUAUAUGAAGUAAGCUUGAAGUAACGCUUGAAUUGUAUAAAAAGACAAAAGGUGAACAUUCUUUUAUGGGAGUUUUAGUUCUGAUUACUUGUAUUUACCGGGGAAACUGAAGGAGAUGGGAGUGGUUUUCCAGCAGCAGCGACAUCUGGUGGUGGUGGUUAUGAUUUUGGUGUUGACCCAAACAUAGCACUCGGUCCUGAAUUGGAUGUAUCAUUGCCUAUCAGAAAGUGCACACUAAAUGUUGGCAUCAGGUUGGGCUUAUGUUUUCAUUCUUCAAGAAAAAAGCAUAAAAGCUUAUCAAGGUAAAGCUGCAAACGAGGUUACUUAAUAAGUAUUUGGUAUUGCAAGUUAGGGUAUAUGUGCAUAUGAAGCAGGGUGUUAGGUACACAUACACUCUUCUUUUGGUAUCCCCUUGAGAGUUAUUCCACUAUUAUUUUUUAAAUAUUUGUUGUCUUAGCUCAAAUGGCAGAGCACAUGGUAUUCAUCCAUGUAGUUGUGGGUUCAACUCCCACAGAUGGAAUGGUCAUAUGUAGUUACUAGGUGUAAUAUCACGCAUAAUGCUGAGAUGGUAAUUUUAAGUCACGGAUCAGUUUUGUCGUGC